rnacentral:rRNA from 1 species
AGUGAACGCUGGCGGCAGGCCUAAUACAUGCAAGUCGAACGGCAGCACAGUGGAGCUUGCUCCAUGGGUGGCGAGUGGCGGACGGGUGAGGAAUACAUGGGAAUCUGCCCAGUCGUGGGGAUAACGUAUGGAAACGUACGCUAAUACCGCAUGCGCCCUUCGGGGGAAAGUCGGGGACCGCAAGGCCUGACGCGAUUGGAUGAGCCCAUGUUCGAUUAGCUAGUUGGCGGGGUAACGGCCCACCAAGGCGACGAUCGAUAGCUGGUCUGAGAGGAUGAUCAGCCACACUGGAACUGAGACACGGUCCAGACUCCUACGGGAGGCAGCAGUAGGGAAUAUUGGACAAUGGGCGCAAGACCUGAUCCAGCCAUGCCGCGUGAGUGAAGAAGGCCCUCGGGUUGUAAAGCUCUUUGUUGGGAAGAAAAGCGAGUUGGUUAAAUACCCG